ensembl:snRNA U5 U5 spliceosomal RNA
AUGCUCUGGUUUUUCUUCAUAACAAACAAAUCUUUUGCCUUUUACUAAAGAUUUCCAUGGAGAAGAACAAUUAUGAGUUUAUAACCAAAUUUUUUGAAGUCCAGCUUAGACAAGGCU